UCCCAUUCACAUUUCGUCCGAUGAUCUUAUUGGAGCCAUUGUUGGGCUGAGGAGC
rnacentral:precursor_RNA from 1 species